rnacentral:tRNA from 1 species
GCCGGGAUGGCGGAACAGGUAGACGCGAAGGUCUCAAAAACCUUUGCCCGUUGGGGCGUGUGGGUUCGAGUCCCACUCCCGGCA